UGGGGAAUAUUGCACAAUGGGCGCAAGCCUGAUGCAGCCAUGCCGCGUGUAUGAAGAAGGCCUUCGGGUUGUAAAGUACUUUCAGCGGGGAGGAAGGGAGUAAAGUUAAUACCUUUGCUCAUUGACGUUACCCGCAGAAGAAGCACCGGCUAACUCCGUGCCAGCAGCCGCGGUAAUACGGAGGGUGCAAGCGUUAAUCGGAAUUACUGGGCGUAAAGCGCACGCAGGCGGUCUGUCAAGUCGGAUGUGAAAUCCCCGGGCUCAACCUGGGAACUGCAUUCGAAACUGGCAGGCGAGAGUCUUGUAGAGGGGGGUAGAAUUCCAGGUGUAGCGGUGAAAUGCGUAGAGAUCUGGAGGAAUACCGGUGGCGAAGGCGGCCCCCUGGACAAAGACUGACGCUCAGGUGCGAAAGCGUGGGGAGCAAACAGG
rnacentral:rRNA from 1 species